UAGAGGAAGUAAAAGUCGUAACAAGGUCUCCGUUGGUGAACCAGCGGAGGGAUCAUUACCGAGUUUACAACUCCCAAACCCAUGUGAACAUACCUACUGUUGCUUCGGCGGGAUUGCCCCGGGCGCCUCGUGUGCCCCGGAUCAGGCGCCCGCCUAGGAAACUUAAUUCUUGUUUUAUUUUGGAAUCUUCUGAGUAGUUUUUACAAAUAAAUAAAAACUUUCAACAACGGAUCUCUUGGUUCUGGCAUCGAUGAAGAACGCAGCGAAAUGCGAUAAGUAAUGUGAAUUGCAGAAUUCAGUGAAUCAUCGAAUCUUUGAACGCACAUUGCGCCCGCCAGUAUUCUGGCGGGCAUGCCUGUCUGAGCGUCAUUUCAACCCUCAUGCCCCUAGGGCGUGGUGUUGGGGAUCGGCCAAAGCCCGCGAGGGACGGCCGGCCCCUAAAUCUAGUGGCGGACCCGUCGUGGCCUCCUCUGCGAAGUAGUGAUAUUCCGCAUCGGAGAGCGACGAGCCCCUGCCGUUAAACCCCCAACUUUCCAAGGUUGACCUCAGAUCAGGUAGGAAUACCCGCUGAACUUAAGCAU
rnacentral:rRNA from 1 species